rnacentral:rRNA from 1 species
UACGUAGGGGGCAAGCGUUAUCCGGAAUCACUGGGCGUAAAGGGUGCGUAGGCGGCUGAAUAAGUCAGGGGUGAAAGGCAUUGGCUCAACCAAUGUAAGCCUUUGAAACUGUUCAGCUUGAGUGCAGGAGAGGUAAGUGGAAUUCCUAGUGUAGCGGUGAAAUGCGUAGAUAUUAGGAGGAACACCAGUGGCGAAGGCGACUUACUGGACUGUAACUGACGCUGAGGCACGAAAGCGUGGGGAGCAAACAGGG